UAAAUAAUGGGUGUAUCUAAAAUAUUGGAAGAAAAGUGUAGUGGUAUAGAUUAAUAAUUUGAGAUUAAUGAUUUGAGUUUAAAUAUCUUUUAGCUCUUUUAGGUAAUCUACAUUAUGAAGAACUUUAUUCUUUAAUUAUUUUGUAAAAAAUUAAAGGACUUUUGAUGUGAAUAGCAUUAAAUGUAGAAAUAAUUUAUAUUUGUAGUAUCAUAAACCUUUCACAUGCUACCAUCAUGUAGAACAAAAGAAUUUUAGCACAGAUAUAUAGAUUUUUUAAAAAUUAUUAAAAAAAAAUAUCAUAUAAGAGAUUAUUUUAAAUU
rnacentral:lncRNA from 1 species